CCUACGGGUGGCAGCAGUGGGGAAUAUUGGACAAUGGGGGGAACCCUGAUCCAGCCAUGCCGCGUGUGUGAAGAAGGCCCUCGGGUUGUAAAGCACUUUCAGUGAGGAAGAACGCCUGGUGGUUAAUACCCAUCAGGAAAGACAUCACUCACAGAAGAAGCACCGGCUAACUCCGUGCCAGCAGCCGCGGUAAUACGGAGGGUGCGAGCGUUAAUCGGAAUUACUGGGCGUAAAGCGCGCGUAGGUGGCUUGAUAAGCCGGUUGUGAAAGCCCCGGGCUCAACCUGGGAACGGCAUCCGGAACUGUCAAGCUAGAGUGCAGGAGAGGAAGGUAGAAUUCCCGGUGUAGCGGUGAAAUGCGUAGAGAUCGGGAGGAAUAACAGUGGCGAAGGCGGCCUUCUGGACUGACACUGACACUGAGGUGCGAAGGCGUGGGUAGCAAACAGGAUUAGAUACCCUAGUAGUC
rnacentral:rRNA from 1 species